UUGUGAAGCACUGCCCCUCCUGGCUAAUCUUUAUUCUCGAUCGCCUUACCCUUCGUGAAAUCUUGCCGUACACACACCAGAGUGCUCCAGGAGACCACCGUAAGCCCAGCUGUCCGGCGGGACCAGUAUUAGCUUGACUGAAAGACCUUCCUUCACUUGAGGAUUGAGACUGGAAGACAUUCUUCAUGCUGCAUGCGAUGUGGCAGAGAUCAGCAGCCUGGGAUUAGCACCAGCCUAGGAGGCUGAGAGUGACCAUGACCCUCAUCUCCAGACACAAAACGGAUAAGACACCUGAGAAUGUAUUGGAAAUCACAGACCCGUGGCCAGAAGAGACGUGUUGGGGAAAACAAAAAUGUACCAAAGAAAUGCGGAUACCAAUUUUCUGACUGCUGGUAACAUAGCAAAAAUGGGCACUAAAUUACUCUGCUCCAAGUUAGCUCGAUUUUCAACAGCACUGGGCUAUUUAUGUUUUUGUCGUUGUGUGUACAAAUUCCUGGACUGAUAUCUUCGCGUAAAAUUCAAGAUUGUUUGCGAUGAGUAGAUGUCUGCUAUUAGGAUAAGGAGCUGCGUUAAAUGUCAGUCACUGAAUGUCAUUGAAGUGACAGCUUAAAUGUCACUAACUACUAAUGUCAAUGUCUUCCAAUUAACUACUAACCACUAAAGCUGUCAUUAGUUGAGUUAAAUCAUUACUUCAGAUUAACACUAUUCUUGACCUCCUAAGAAACCUUUUUAGAGUCUAAGGAAACUGGGAAAGGGUUUCCUAUAUCAAGAUGUAGCCUACCACAAGUGCACCGGCACGGAGGCCAGGA